GAUUAACGCUGGCGGUGUGUCUAAUACAUGCAAGUCGAGCGGCAGCGGAAAGUAGCUUGCUACUUUGCCGGCGAGCGGCGGACGGGUGAGUAAUGUCUGGGAAACUGCCUGAUGGAGGGGGAUAACUACUGGAAACGUGAGCUAAUAAAGCAUAAGGUCGCAAGACCAAAGAGGGGGACCUUCGGGCCUUUGGCCAUCGGAUGUGCCCAGAUGGGAUUAGCUAGUAGGUGGGGUAACGGCUCACCUAGGCGACGAUGCCUAGCUGGUCUGAGAGGAUGACCAGCCACACUGGAACUGAGACACGGUCCAGACUCCUACGGGAGGCAGCAGUGGGGAAUAUUGCACAAUGGGCGCAAGCCUGAUGCAGCCAUGCCGCGUGUAUGAAGAAGGCCUUCGGGUUGUGAAGUACUUUCAGCGGGGAGGAAGGCGAUAAGGUUAAUAACCUUGUCGAUUGACGUUACCCGCAGAAGAAGCACCGGCUAACUCCGUGCCAGCAGCCGCCGUAA
rnacentral:rRNA from 1 species